CGUUAGUUCAGUUCAAAGGCGCUUCCCCAAACACGAGGCCACAGCUGAUGUGCGCAUGCUCAACAGUAAACCCAAAAUGUUGACUUUAAUCUCAGGAAACCGAACCCGAACAGAACCACGCGCCCGAACAGCACCGCUUCUCACUGCCGGUCAAACUGACAAACGAGCACGCGGCUCCGGAGAUGAUGUGAACUCCUGUGACCUCGCGCCUGCAGUGAGUCAGGAGCAGACACAAGAAUGACAGAACCUGCAGGAGCAGAACCUCAGACACACCUGUAUCGUCAUCCUGAUGGGGGCGUGUCAGGCGUGGCGCCAUCACACACCGACCAGAGGAAACGUCCUCCAUGUUCAGACUGCAGCUGGCCCAAAGGCCCCUGUGGUUAUCAUGGUUAAUGCUGGCUGUUCUUCCUGAGGAUUAGUGACACAGAGCUGCGUCACCUGUAGCCUGGAUCACACAACGAAGCGUCUGCCGGGACAAAGACGCUGCAGCUCCUUCUUCUAUAGAAAACCUGGUUUCUCUCUGUAAUCUGAAGAAAAUUAAAUCUUCCUUUAAAGAAAAUCCUGUCGGGUGAAGAGGAUUUCUGCAUAAAUUGAUGCUGCAGCUUCUGAUUCUGAAGAACAGCUCCCUCUUGUGGACACAUGAAGAACUGUUCCAGAUUCACAAAAAGUAAAUUUGAGACAAAAAAGGUAAACAAUUCAGUGGACUCACAAAUAAAAACAAGUUAA